rnacentral:misc_RNA from 1 species
CAGAGUUGAAAGACUCCCAAACCAUCGCGAACGCUACCCCUAUCGUUGCUUCGGCGGGCGUUAUCUCCCCAACCGACCCCUCACGGGCGGGCGGGGGGAGCCCGCCGGCGGCACCCUAAAACUCUUGUUUUUACCACUGGACUUCUCUGAGUAUACUGUAUCAAAAUCAGUUA